rnacentral:rRNA from 1 species
UUAGAGGAAGUAAAAGUCGUAACAAGGUUUCCGUAGGUGAACCUGCGGAAGGAUCAUUACCGAGUGAGGGCCCUCUGGGUCCAACCUCCCACCCGUGUUUAUUUUACCUUGUUGCUUCGGCGGGCCCGCCUUAACUGGCCGCCGGGGGGCUUACGCCCCCGGGCCCGCGCCCGCCGAAGACACCCUCGAACUCUGUCUGAAGAUUGAAGUCUGAGUGAAAAUAUAAAUUAUUUAAAACUUUCAACAACGGAUCUCUUGGUUCCGGCAUCGAUGAAGAACGCAGCGAAAUGCGAUACGUAAUGUGAAUUGCAAAUUCAGUGAAUCAUCGAGUCUUUGAACGCACAUUGCGCCCCCUGGUAUUCCGGGGGGCAUGCCUGUCCGAGCGUCAUUGCUGCCCUCAAGCCCGGCUUGUGUGUUGGGCCCCGUCCCCCGAUCUCCGGGGGACGGGCCCGAAAGGCAGCGGCGGCACCGCGUCCGGUCCUCGAGCGUAUGGGGCUUUGUCACCCGCUCUGUAGGCCCGGCCGGCGCUUGCCGAUCAACCCAAAUUUUUAUCCAGGUUGACCUCGGAUCAGGUAGGGAUACCCGCUGAACUUAAGCAUAUCAA